rnacentral:snRNA from 1 species
AUGCUCAUUUUGGCAGCACAUACACUACGAUUGGAACAAUACAGAAGAAGGGUAGCAUGGUCCCUCUGUAAGGAUGACAUGCAAAUUCAUUGAGUGUUCUCUAUUUUUU